GCCGAAGUAGCUCAGUGGUAGAGCACUUCUCUGAAAAAGAAGGGGUCGUGAGUCCGAUUCUCACCUUCGGCACCA
rnacentral:tRNA from 2 species